rnacentral:rRNA from 1 species
CAGUCGCCACGGGAAUACAGAGGGUGCGAGCGUUAAUCGGAUUUACUGGGCGUAAAGCGUGCGUAGGCGGCUUCUUAAGUCGGAUGUGAAAUCCCUGAGCUUAACUUAGGAAUUGCAUUCGAUACUGGGAAGCUAGAGUAUGGGAGAGGAUGGUAGAAUUCCAGGUGUAGCGGUGAAAUGCGUAGAGAUCUGGAGGAAUACCGAUGGCGAAGGCAGUCAUCUGGCCUAAUACUGACGCUGAGGUACGAAAGCAUGGGGAGCAAACAGGAUUAGAGACCCGUGUAGUCCCUGUCUCUUAUAC